rnacentral:misc_RNA from 1 species
AGAGUCGACAGGAAAGGGCAGCGAAUCCAUCCUGACGCCAAGUCCUGCGGGGUGCCUCGCAAGGUGUGAUCCGAAGCGUGCACAGGGGCAGCGACGGGCAGGGUAUAGAGCUUCUUCCACAACUGUGGGUGAACC